rnacentral:lncRNA from 1 species
GAGGUAGUUAUAAAGGAAGCUCACAAGACGCGAUACUCCAUUCAUCCUGGUUCAGACAAGAUGUAUUUGGAUAUUAAACAACACUAUUGGUGGCCUAACAUGAAGGCAGAAAUUGCUACCUAUGUUAGUAAGUGCCUUACGUGUGCCAAGGUAAAGGUGGAAUACCAGAAGCCCUCAGGGUUAUUACAGCAACCGAUAAUUCCUGAGUGGAAAUGGGAGGGGAUUUCUAUGGAUUUCGUGACCAAGCUACCCAAAACGUCGGAUGGACUAGACACCAUAUGGGUAAUAAUCGACCGACUGACGAAAUCUGCCCAUUUCCUGCCAAUCAAAGAAUCCUACAAGAUGGAGAGAUUGACACGUUUAUACGUUCGAGAAAUCGUGAGACUCCACAGAGUGCCAAUAUCUAUUAUCUCGGAUAGGGACAGUAGGUUCACUUCACGUUUUUGGCAAUCACUCCAUAAGGCAUUGGGAACUCAUCUCGACAUGAGCACCGCUUAUCAUCCACAAACGGAUGGUCAAAGCGAACGAACCAUUCAAACGCUCGAAGACAUGCUCCGCGCAUGCGUGAUAGACUUUGGGAAGUCUUGGGAUACCCACUUACCUUUAGUCGAAUUCUCGUACAACAAUAGUUAUCAUUCGAGCAUCAAGGUAGCUCCUUUCGAAGCACUGUACGGACGUAAGUGUAGAUCGCCGUUAUGUUGGACUGAGGUGGGUGAUACCCAACUAGCGAGAACACAUACGUCGGACAAAGCACUAAUGGGACCGGAGAUCAUUCGCUAAACCACAGAAAAGAUCGUCCAAAUCAGGGCUCAAUUACAAGCAUCGCGUGACCGACAAAAGAGCUACGCCGAUAAACGACAAAAGCCCUUAGAGUUUCAGGUCGUUGAUCGAGUACUGUUGAAAGUCUCACCCUGGAAAGGGGUUAUACAUUUCGGAAAACGGGGAAAACUGAACCCACGAUACAUUGGACCUUUCGAGAUCGUCGCCCGAAUAGGUCCAGUGGCGUAUAAGCUGCAGCUACCCGCAGAGCUAAACAGUGUUCACCCCGUGUUCCAUGUCUCUAAUCUAAAGAAGUGCCUAUCGGAUGAAACACUCGUCAUUCCCCUUGACGAAAUCGAAAUCAACGAGAAUCUCCUGUUCGUGGAAGAACCGGUUGAAAUCAUGGACAGGGAGGUGAAGCGUACUAAGCAAAGCCGCAUCCCGAUCGUGAAGGUACGGUGGAACGCGAAGCGUGGGCCAGAAUUCACAUGGGAGCGCGAAGACCAAAUGAAGCAAAAGUACCCUCACCUAUUCUAGCAUUCUCAAAUCUAGCUUUCAAAUAGAAUUUCGAGACGAAAUUCCCUCUAACGGGGGGAUGAUGUCCCAAUUAGAAAUUUUGUGUCAUGUAAUCUCUAAACUCAAGAUAAAUGAAAAAGAAAUCAAAAGCUCAAAGAGCAUGUAUGAUGCUUACUCUAUGACAUCUAAUUUUCAAACAAGUACAUCAUACAAGUGCUACAAAUAGUCAACAAGCAAUUGGAAACCCUAGAAGUUCUUGUUAGGUCUAUUUUGGACUAGGACUUCCUUAUUGGACUCAAUGGCCCAAUAACCUUCCAAUUUGACUAUUAUGGGAUUAGAACCUUCAAAUGAGCUCUAGUUGGAUCUAAUUCCAUUUAAUUCAACAUUUUGGGCCAUAUUGGGCCUAGAAAGAANUGGUGGAACGUGAAGCGUGGGCCAUAAUUCACAUGGGAGCGCGAAGACCAAAUGAAGCAAAAGUACCCUCACCUAUUCUAGCAUUCUCAAAUCUAGCUUUCAAACAGAAUUUCGGGACGAAAUUCCCUCUAACGGGGGGAUGAUGUCACAACUAGAAAUUUUGUGUCAUGUAAUCUCUACACUCAAG